rnacentral:tRNA from 1 species
AAAGGGAGACCUAAUUCAGGUAGGAGACGAAAAAAAGUAGUCCCUACCAAGAAUCAAUCCCAAAAGGUCGGAGCGAGGCAAAAUUGGCUUUCAAACUAGGUUCUGGGUUCACAUAAGACCUGAAUCGGGAACAAGGGCUAUUAGCUCAGGUGGUUAGAGCGCACCCCUGAUGAGGGUGAGGUCCCUGGUUCGAGUCCAGGAUGGCCCACCUGCACAGGUGGCAAAAACAAGAGAAGCGAGGAAUCAGCACCUUAUCUUAUAUACAUAUAUAAGAGAGAAUGCUGGCUCUGAGUACAGAGUCCAGAGGAACCUUGAAAACUGCAUAGAGCUAGGUGAAAAAGCCAAAAAAGAAGACCGCAAG